rnacentral:tRNA from 1 species
GAGGACCUGGGUUCAAACCCCAGCAGAGGCAAUAAGUGUCUCUGUUACAUUUGGCGCCAACGUUGGGGCAUUAUGUGACGGUCAGACUGGUUCGAAUACCGGCGCCAGAUAGCUCAGUUGGUAGAGCACCUGACUAUAGAUUCAGGGGGCCCAGGUUCGAAUCCCGGUCUGGUCCGUCAUUAUUUCUCCCAUCCCGUUACAUUUGGCGCCCAUGUUGGGACCUGGGUAUUCUCUGGCGGGUGAGAGAGAUUGUUUCCAGAACUUUGGCCCACAGGCAUUGGCACUCCAGGAGAGUCGGGACGCCUCUUUCCUUGGAGGGGGACAAUGUGGUAGAGUGGUGGCUCCGACCAUCAGUAGCCUGGCCUGUCAGGAACAGCUUAUAGACGCCGCAAAGGGUGUGGCUCACUCUGUGGAGGGAAUCGUGGAGGCGGCCCAGCAGUCCUGCCACGAUGAUAAGCUUCUGGCCGACCUAGGCGCCGCAGCCACAGCGGUUACUCAGGCUCUUAACGACCUGCUACAGCACAUCAAGAAGGGGGCAGGACCCAACGCGGCUGGGGAAUCCCACGAGGAUGCAGUGGACACGAUCCUGACUGUGACAGACAGACUGGUCAGUAGUGUGGGCGACGCCCACGAGAUGGUGAGACAGGCCAGGCACCUAGCUCAGGCGACUUCUUCAUUGGUUGGGGCCAUCAGGGGAGAAGCCGAGCGCCACUCUGACUCGGACAUGCAGAAGCGGCUACUGGCCGCCGCCAGACAACUCGCGGAUGCCACCGCGAACAUGGUGGAAGCUGCCAAGGGCUGUGCGUCGAGUCCGAACGACUCGGAGCAGCAGAAGAGACUACGAGGCGCUGCAGAGGAUCUCCGGGCUGCCACAAAUAUCGCCGCCAGCAACGCCCUCAAAAAGAAACUCAUCAGGAGGCUAGAGAACGCCGCGCGUCAUACCGCCUCAGCCACCACACAGCUGAUUAACGCCUCAAAGAACGCUAACAAAUCCAACACUAACAAAACCUCGGAAAAUCAACUGACUCAACAAUGCCAGAUCAUGAAUGAACAGCUGCCUCUGUUGAUCCAAGGAUUCCGGGGAUCUGAGACAAACCAGGACAGCGCUACAGCCCAGCUACAACUGAUCAAUGCCAGCAAGGAAUUUAUACAGCCUGCCAGUCAGCUGGUAUCCGCUGCAAACACCGCAGCCCCAACGGUUGGAGAUCAAGCUGCAAGCAUGAACAUGAACCAGACAGUGAAGACAAUGACCACCGCGCUCGCGGAGCUGAGAACCGCCUCAGGGAAGGCAGAGGAGAUGUGUAUCUCACUGGAGGUUGACGCUUCGCUUGAUCAGCUGACCGAACUCGACCGCGAGCUGGAGGAGUACCGCAGAGCUGCCGACAGCGGUAACCUUGUGCCACUACCCGGUGAAACGGUAGAGGCGUCGGCCAUGAAACUUGGCUCCACCUCUAAGGACGUGGGAUCGGCGAUGGCUCAGCUACUGACGGCUGCCUCACAGUACCCGAGCACAGACCGCACGUUCCAGGAGAUCCAGAUCGAGAACAACAACGCCGCUGUCAAUCUCAACCAGGCCGCCAGUGACAUCGUCACCGCAUCUCGUGGCACACCUAAACAACUCGCCGAGUCAUCUGGCGAGUACAGCUCGUCUUACUUAGAGUUCAUCAAAUCUGGACUCACCAUGGCAGGUCUGUCCAAGGAUGGAGACACACAGAACCAGAUUGUGGGCGGACUGAAGAACGUCUCCAUGGUUUCCAGUAAACUGCUGCUGGCCGCCAAGUCUGUGUCGGCCGAUUCAAACGCUCCCAACACCAAGAAUCUGCUCUCGCAGGCCGCCAGAGCGGUGACGGAGAGCAUUAAUCAGCUGAUCAACGUCUGUACUGUGUCGGCUCCAGGGCAGAAGGAGUGUGAUAACGCCCUCAGACAGAUACAGAUGAUGAAAUCUAUGCUGGAGAGUGCCAAUGAGCCAGUGACCGACCUGUCGUAUUUCGAAUGUCUGGACUCCGUCAUGGAGAAAUCUAAGCUGUUGGGAGACUCUAUGACUGGGAUCACGAACCACGCCAAGAAGGGCGACCUGGAGAACUUCUGUGACUCCGUGGGGAACUUCUCAACAUCUGUUUGUGGACUCACUGAGGCCGCCUCACAGGUAAGGGACCGUCUCAAAAGUCUUCAUGUAGAAGAACAGUCUCUGUACACAGGGAUUGAUUUGCGACCUACCUUGUGGGCAUUGCUGAUGGAGCGUCAGAGCCCUAAGGGCCCGGGCUGGUGGACCAGUCCCAGUUUGCCCGGGCUAACCAAGCCAUACAGAUGGCGUGUCAGAACCUGGUUAAACCGGCCAGCUCCCAGCAACAGGUACGUCGUUAAUCAGUGGUUCAUAAGUGGAGGACUAAUGACUUACUAA